UAGGGAAUCUUCGGCAAUGGACGAAAGUCUGACCGAGCAACGCCGCGUGAGUGAAGAAGGUUUUCGGAUCGUAAAACUCUGUUGUUAGAGAAGAACAAGGACGUUAGUAACUGAACGUCCCCUGACGGUAUCUAACCAGAAAGCCACGGCUAACUACGUGCCCGCAGCCGCGGUAAUACGUAGGUGGCAAGCGUUGUCCGGAUUUAUUGGGCGUAAAGCGAGCGCAGGCGGUUUCUUAAGUCUGAUGUGAAAGCCACCGGCUCAACCGGGGAGGGUAAUUGGAAACUGGGAGACUUGAGUGCAGAAGAGGAGAGUGGAAUUCCAUGGGUAGCGGUGAAAUGCGUAGAUAUAUGGAGGAACACCAGUGGCGAAGGCGGCUCUCUGGUCUGUAACUGACGCUGAGGCUCGAAAGCGUGGGGAGCAAACAGG
rnacentral:rRNA from 1 species